AGCGGAGGGAUCAUUACUGAGUUAUUAAAACUCCAAACCCUUUGUGAACCUUACUGUCGUUGCCUCGGCGUGAGCUACGGCUACCCUGUAGUUACCCUAUAGCUACCCUGCAGCUACCCUAUAGUUGACCAGUGGCUACCCUGUAGUUACCCUAUAGCUACCCUGCAGCUACCCUAUAGUUGACCAGUAGCUACCCUGUAGCCGGCUUAUGGCCCGCCGAAGGACCGCUAAACUCUUGUUUUUUACCACUGUUUCUCUGAAUUGUAAACUUAAAUAAGUUAAAACUUUCAACAACGGAUCUCUUGGUUCUGGCAUCGAUGAAGAACGCAGCGAAAUGCGAUAAGUAAUGUGAAUUGCAGAAUUCAGUGAAUCAUCGAAUCUUUGAACGCACAUUGCGCCCAUUAGUAUUCUAGUGGGCAUGCCUAUUCGAGCGUCAUUUCGACCCUUAAGCCCCUGUUGCUUAGCGUUGGGAAUCUACAGCGUAGUUCCUUAAAGUUAGUGGCGGAGUUAGGGUACACUCUCAGCGUAGUAAUCUUUCUCGCUCGUGUGGUGGCCCUGGCUGCUAGCCGUUAAACCCCUAUAUUUUCUAGUGGUUGACCUCGGAUUAGGUAGGAAUACCCGCUGAACUUAAG
rnacentral:rRNA from 1 species